UACGUAGGGAGCAAGCGUUGUCCGGAAUCAUUGGGCGUAAAGCGCGCGUAGGUGGCUUCGUAAGUCCGUUGUGAAAGUCAAAGGCUCAACCUUUGAAAGCCAGAUGGAUACUGUGAAGCUAGAGUACGGAAGAGGCGAGUGGAAUUCCUGGUGUAGCGGUGGAAUGCGCAGAUAUCAGGAGGAACACCAAUAGCGAAGGCAGCUCGCUGGGACGUUACUGACACUGAGGCGCGAAAGCGUGGGGAGCGAACAGG
rnacentral:rRNA from 1 species